UACGAAGGGGGCUAGCGUUGCUCGGAAUCACUGGGCGUAAAGGGUGCGUAGGCGGGUCUUUAAGUCAGGGGUGAAAUCCUGGAGCUCAACUCCAGAACUGCCUUUGAUACUGAGGAUCUUGAGUUCGGGAGAGGUGAGUGGAACUGCGAGUGUAGAGGUGAAAUUCGUAGAUAUUCGCAAGAACACCAGUGGCGAAGGCGGCUCACUGGCCCGAUACUGACGCUGAGGCACGAAAGUGUGGGGAGCAACAGG
rnacentral:rRNA from 1 species